GUGGACAUCGGAAAUCGGUGGGCAGCAAAGCACGUUGGACCGAGAACGACCGCGAGCAUCAGCCAUCUAGGACUGAUCUUCAAGUGACCUAUCCGUAACAGGUGUUACUGCAUCUCAGCAGUUAUUCCGUGGACAAUUUCACAUGAGAAGAUAAUGGAUAAGGCGGUGCUGGACCGGCGCAAGGAGUCAAGCGCUGUGCCCCUGGCGAGCAGCGGGUGCACCACGCCUGACGACCCGGGACUUCUGGAAGCCACCUACCC